GACGAACGCUGGCGGCGUGCCUAAUACAUGCAAGUCGAGCGGACCACUUCGGUGGUUAGCGGCGGACGGGUGAGUAACACGUGGGUAACCUGCCUGAUAGACUGGGAUAACGCUUGGAAACGAGUGCUAAUACCGGAUAGGCUCCUUGACCGCAUGGUCUUGGAGGGAAAGAGGCUUCUGCCUCACUGUCAGAUGGACCCGCGGCGCAUUAGCUAGUUGGUGGGGUAACGGCCCACCAAGGCGACGAUGCGUAGCCGACCUGAGAGGGUGACCGGCCACACUGGGACUGAGACACGGCCCAGACUCCUACGGGAGGCAGCAGUAGGGAAUCUUCCACAAUGGGCGCAAGCCUGAUGGAGCAACGCCGCGUGAGUGAUGACGGCCUUCGGGUUGUAAAACUCUGUCUUCUGUGACGAACAAGCCUGUGAGUGGAAUGCUCAGGCCCUGACGGUAACAGAGGAGGAAGCCACGGCUAACUACGUGCCAGCAGCCGCAGUAACAC
rnacentral:rRNA from 1 species